rnacentral:rRNA from 1 species
GUCUCUUAGAAAUUAUUAAGAGUCAGGCCUGCCCAGUGAUUGCUUUUUUAACGGCCGCGGUACCCUGACCGUGCAAAGGUAGCAUAAUCAUUUGCCUUUUAAUUGGAGGCUGGUAUGAAUGGUUUGACGAGAGUAAAGCUGUCUCAGACACAUUAAAUAGAAACUAAUUUAAAGGUGCAAAAGCCUUUAUAAAACAAAAAGACGAGAAGACCCUGUUGAGCUUUAAUUUUAAUGAGCACCAACUUUAUAUUAAUAUAAUUCAUUUGCUCAAUAAAAAUUUUAAUUGGGGCGAUUAAGGAACACAAUGAAGCUUCCUGAUUUUAAUAUUAAAUAUCCAUAAAUUAAAUCGAUCCAGCAAUGCUGAUUAACAAAACGAGUUACCACAGGGAUAACAGCAUAAUUCUUUUUCAGAGCUCAUAUCGAAAAAAGAGAUUGUGACCUCGAUGUUGGACUAGGGUAACAAGAAGGUGGAGCAGCUUUCUUGCUUGGUCUGUUCGACCAGUAAUUCCCU